UUAAGUUAUUAAGGGCGCACGGUGGAUGCCUUGGCACUAGAAGCCGAUGAAGGACGUUACUAACGACGAUAUGCUUUGGGGAGCUGUAAGUAAGCUUUGAUCCAGAGAUUUCCGAAUGGGGAAACCCAGCAUGAGUUAUGUCAUGUUAUCGAUAUGUGAAUACAUAGCAUAUCAGAAGGCACACCCGGAGAACUGAAACAUCUUAGUACCCGGAGGAAGAGAAAGAAAAUUCGAUUCCCUUAGUAGCGGCGAGCGAAACGGGAAGAGCCCAAACCAAAAAGCUUGCUUGUUGGGGUUGUAGGACACUCUAUACGGAGUUACAAAGGACGACAUUAGACGAAUCAUCUGGAAAGAUGAAUCAAAGAAGGUAAUAAUCCUGUAGUCGAAAAUGUUGUCUCUCUUGAGUGGAUCCUGAGUACGACGGAGCACGUGAAAUUCCGUCGGAAUCUGGGAGGACCAUCUCCUAAGGCUAAAUACUCUCUAGUGACCGAUAGUGAACCAGUACCGUGAGGGAAAGGUGAAAAGCACCCCGGAAGGGGAGUGAAAUAGAACCUGAAACCGUGUGCUUACAAGUAGUCAGAGCCCGUUAAUGGGUGAUGGCGUGCCUUUUGUAGAAUGAACCGGCGAGUUACGAUUUGAUGCAAGGUUAAGCAGUAAAUGUGGAGCCGUAGCGAAAGCGAGUCUGAAUAGGGCGUUUAGUAUUUGGUCGUAGACCCGAAACCAGGUGAUCUACCCUUGGUCAGGUUGAAGUUCAGGUAACACUGAAUGGAGGACCGAACCGACUUACGUUGAAAAGUGAGCGGAUGAACUGAGGGUAGCGGAGAAAUUCCAAUCGAACCUGGAGAUAGCUGGUUCUCUCCGAAAUAGCUUUAGGGCUAGCCUCAAGUGAUGAUUAUUGGAGGUAGAGCACUGUUUGGACGAGGGGCCCCUCUCGGGUUACCGAAUUCAGACAAACUCCGAAUGCCAAUUAAUUUAACUUGGGAGUCAGAACAUGGGUGAUAAGGUCCGUGUUCGAAAGGGAAACAGCCCAGACCACCAGCUAAGGUCCCAAAAUAUAUGUUAAGUGGAAAAGGAUGUGGCGUUGCCCAGACAACUAGGAUGUUGGCUUAGAAGCAGCCAUCAUUUAAAGAGUGCGUAAUAGCUCACUAGUCGAGUGACACUGCGCCGAAAAUGUACCGGGGCUAAACAUAUUACCGAAGCUGUGGAUUGUCCUUUGGACAAUGGUAGGAGAGCGUUCUAAGGGCGUUGAAGCAUGAUCGUAAGGACAUGUGGAGCGCUUAGAAGUGAGAAUGCCGGUGUGAGUAGCGAAAGACGGGUGAGAAUCCCGUCCACCGAUUGACUAAGGUUUCCAGAGGAAGGCUCGUCCGCUCUGGGUUAGUCGGGUCCUAAGCUGAGGCCGACAGGCGUAGGCGAUGGAUAACAGGUUGAUAUUCCUGUACCACCUAUAAUCGUUUUAAUCGAUGGGGGGACGCAGUAGGAUAGGCGAAGCGUGCGAUUGGAUUGCACGUCUAAGCAGUAAGGCUGAGUAUUAGGCAAAUCCGGUACUCGUUAAGGCUGAGCUGUGAUGGGGAGAAGACAUUGUGUCUUCGAGUCGUUGAUUUCACACUGCCGAGAAAAGCCUCUAGAUAGAAAAUAGGUGCCCGUACCGCAAACCGACACAGGUAGUCAAGAUGAGAAUUCUAAGGUGAGCGAGCGAACUCUCGUUAAGGAACUCGGCAAAAUGACCCCGUAACUUCGGGAGAAGGGGUGCUCUUUAGGGUUAACGCCCAGAAGAGCCGCAGUGAAUAGGCCCAAGCGACUGUUUAUCAAAAACACAGGUCUCUGCUAAACCGUAAGGUGAUGUAUAGGGGCUGACGCCUGCCCGGUGCUGGAAGGUUAAGAGGAGUGGUUAGCUUCUGCGAAGCUACGAAUCGAAGCCCCAGUAAACGGCGGCCGUAACUAUAACGGUCCUAAGGUAGCGAAAUUCCUUGUCGGGUAAGUUCCGACCCGCACGAAAGGCGUAACGAUUUGGGCACUGUCUCAACGAGAGACUCGGUGAAAUCAUAGUACCUGUGAAGAUGCAGGUUACCCGCGACAGGACGGAAAGACCCCGUGGAGCUUUACUGUAGCCUGAUAUUGAAAUUCGGCACAGCUUGUACAGGAUAGGUAGGAGCCUUUGAAACGUGAGCGCUAGCUUACGUGGAGGCGCUGGUGGGAUACUACCCUAGCUGUGUUGGCUUUCUAACCCGCACCACUUAUCGUGGUGGGAGACAGUGUCAGGCGGGCAGUUUGACUGGGGCGGUCGCCUCCUAAAAGG
rnacentral:rRNA from 1 species